CUCAACUAACUAAAAUCGCCUCUACCCCGUCGAAAGCUCUCCUAUUUCUCUCUCCAAACCACCCACAUCAUCGCAAGAGGAACCAAAUUCCAUGCCUUACGUCUUCUCCUCCUCUCCUCCAACAAAACAUCAAAUCUUUCAAAGUUCAAGCAUUCUCUCUCAUGUAUUAGUUUUCAAAAUUUAAUAAUGCUCUCCAUAUUCAAAGUAGAAGGUCAGUUUGGCUAUUAACAUUUGUGUGAUCGCUACUGUUCCCUUGAAGCUAAAACAAAACAUGGCGGAAAACAAAGUAUAAAGAUUGGACGAGAAACCUUAAAGAAGGUAAUUCUUGGGAAAGGCAACAUUAGCAUAGAUAGGGCAACAGAAAAAUCAGAAAGGAAAGUCAGAGUUCAAGAAAUUAUACCUUCCGUUCCACAAAUACAAUGGUCAAAGGGAAGGGAUGACCAGAUCUUUCAGCUUGAGCAGCCUCCUCAACCAGCAAAUCCAAAAGUCGGUCAAUCUACAAGAUUUAUCAUCACAACAACGUCAAGCUUUAAUCACGACGAAAGAACCAUAGAUCUGGUGACAUCAUCUUUUUUUUUUUUUAGGUGACGAUUAAUAUCUAAUCUUGAAAACUUCUUUUUCCACCUAUCUAAGAUUGACUUCAAGUACAAGA